GACGAACGCUGGCGGCGUGCUUAACACAUGCAAGUCGAGCGGAAAGGCCUGCUUUCCCUUGUGGAUUGCGGGUACUCGAGUGGCGAACGGGUGAGUAACACGUGAGUGAUCUGCCCCCAACUUGGGUAUAAGCCUGGGAAACUGGGUCUAAUUCCCGAUAGGACUGCAGGGUGGUGCCUGUGGUGGAAAACGAUUUUCUAGUGGUUGGGGAUGAGCUCGCGGCCUAUCAGCUUGUUGGUGGGGUAAUGGCCUACCAAGGCGGCGACGGGUAGCCGGCCUGAGAGGGUGGACGGCCACAUUGGGACUGAGAUACGGCCCAGACUCCUACGGGAGGCAGCAGUGGGGAAUAUUACACAAUGGGCGGAAGCCUGAUGCAGCGACGCCGCGUGGGGGAUGACGGCCUUCGGGUUGUAAACUCCUUUCGACCGCGAGGAAGCCACCUGGUUGGAAGGGUGGUGACGGUAGUGGUAGAAGAAGCACCGGCUAACUACGUG
rnacentral:rRNA from 1 species